rnacentral:rRNA from 1 species
AAUCAACGCUGGCGGCGUGCCUCAGACAUGCAAGUCGAACGCUGCUGUUCGCCUUCGGGUGGACAGCGGAGUGGCGCACGGGUGAGUAACACGUAGGUAAUCUACCUUUGGGUGGGAGUAACAGCCGGAAACGGCUGCUAAUACCGCAUAAUGCAGCGGCAUCACAUGAUGACAGUUGUUAAAGCGAGGGAUCGUAAGACCUCGCGCCUGAAGAGGAGCCUGCGGCAGAUUAGGUAGUUGGUGAGGUAAUGGCUCACCAAGCCUGCGAUCUGUAACCGGCCUGAGAGGGCGGGUCGGUCACACUGACACUGACAUACGGGUCAGACUCCUACGGGAGGCAGCAGUCGGGUAAUUUUGGGCAAUGGGCGCAAGCCUGACCCAGCAACG